rfam:Sorghum bicolor cultivar BTx623 chromosome 1, whole genome shotgun sequence.
GUAAUGAUAUUCGUAUCAAUCCAUAUGUAUUGAGGUGGUUUGGAGUGGAUAUUGAACUAAAUUUCACCCCAAUUCACUCCAACACAUGUAGAUUGAGGUGAAUACGACA